rnacentral:rRNA from 1 species
CCUACGGGAGGCAGCAGUGGGGAAUAUUGGACAAUGGGCGAAAGCCUGAUCCAGCAAUGCCGCGUGAGUGAUGAAGGCCUUAGGGUUGUAAAGCUCUUUUACCAGGGAUGAUAAUGACAGUACCUGGAGAAUAAGCUCCGGCUAACUCCGUGCCAGCAGCCGCGGUAAUACGGAGGGAGCUAGCGUUGUUCGGAAUUACUGGGCGUAAAGCGUGCGUAGGCGGUGAUUCAAGUCAGAGGUGAAAGCCUGGAGCUCAACUCCAGAACGGCCUUUGAAACUAGAUCGCUAGAAUUAUGGAGAGGUAAGUGGAAUUCCGAGUGUAGAGGUGAAAUUCGUAGAUAUUCGGAAGAACACCAGUGGCGAAGGCGACUUACUGGACAUAUAUUGACGCUGAGGUACGAAAGCGUGGGGAGCAAACAGGAUUAGAUACCCUGGUAGUCCACGCCGUAAACGAUGAUAACUAGCUGUUCGGGCUCUCAGAGCUUGAGUGGCGCAGCUAACGCAUUAAGUUAUCCGCCUGGGGAGUACGGUCGCAAGAUUAAAACUCAAAGGAUUGACGG